GAGAGGGGAGGCAAGCGUUGCUCGGAAUUACUGGGCGUAAAGGGCGCGUAGGCGGGAUGGCAAGUCGGUCGUGAAAUCCCUCGGCUCAACCGAGGAACGUCGAUCGAUACUGCUGUUCUUGAGGAUUGCAGAGGAGACUGGAAUUCCCGGUGUAGCGGUGAAAUGUGUAGAGAUCGGGAGGAACACCGGUGGCGAAGGCGGGUCUCUGGGCAAUUCCUGACGCUGAGGCGCGAAAGCGUGGGGAGCAAACGGG
rnacentral:rRNA from 1 species